rnacentral:rRNA from 1 species
CCUACGGGAGGCAGCAGUGGGGAAUAUUGGUCAAUGGGCGCGAGCCUGAACCAGCCAAGUAGCGUGAAGGAUGACUGCCCUACGGGUUGUAAACUUCUUUUAUAAAGGAAUAAAGUGAGGCACGUGUACCUUUUUGUAUGUACUUUAUGAAUAAGGAUCGGCUAACUCCGUGCCAGCAGCCGCGGUAAUACGGAGGAUCCGAGCGUUAUCCGGAUUUAUUGGGUUUAAAGGGAGCGUAGAUGGGUUGUUAAGUCAGGUGUGAAAGGUUGCGGCUUAACCGUAAAAUUGCAAUUGAUACUGGCAGUCUUGAGUACAGUUGAGGUAGGCGGAAUUCGUGGUGUAGCGGUGAAAUGAUUAGAGAUCACGAAGAACUCCGAUUGCGAAGGCAGCUUACUAAUCUGCCACUGACAUUGAGGCUCGAAAGUGUGGGUAUCAAACAGGAUUAGAUACCCGAGUAGUC